rnacentral:lncRNA from 10 species
GCAGAUCCCCAGACGAUCCGUGUGCUGUAUGCUACCUGUUGAACCCUAGCAUGGUGGCUUUUUAAAAGGUUAUUUAUGACUUUUAUUUUUGGGUAAGGCAUUAUGGCCAGGUGCAUGCAGUUAUGUCUGGGUUACGUGUGAAACGUACAUCUGGUGAACUGUAUACUUGGCUCAAACUUCUCAAAAUUUAGAGGUGCUGGAAAGGAUUGUCACUUGGAGCCUUUAGUAGACAAAAGGCAGAAAGUGAGCAUCAUUUCAGAAAUGCUUUAGUAUGCACACUUUUAGCUGAUAUUUUGAUAUAUAGAAUAAUAAUAUACACAGUGGAGAAUAUUCAAAGAGUGGCUGAAGGGAGAAUACAGAGCCAGUAGGGCCAAAAUGAAACUUCUAGGAUGUCUUCUGAAUUUUCAGCACAUGGGGGGAAUAAGUGAACAAAUUUCCCAACAUCGUGCAAUGCUUUAUAGCACAAUGAUCUAGAUUUCAGACUGUGUUAAGGUUUUUUCUUUGUUGAUGUUGUUGUUUUAAUUCUAAUGUGCACGGUGUGACUGGCAGAGUGAGUUUAAAAGCUUUACGAGUGAUUAAUUGCUUGGCAGGCACCCACGCUAUCUGCAUUUCCAGAACUUUACUGAUGCAUCCAUGUACAUUUCCACUGAGGAAUUUUGGUGGGUGGGGGGAGGUUGUGCUGCCUCACAAUGUCACGUGUAUUAAAGUCUAAAAAAGAAGCAGAAGCUCUGGUACAGCAGCUCCAUGGGCAUCAGGAAUCCAGCUCCUGUCUUUCUCAGCACCCUCAAGGUUGCCUCAUGGUCUGAGAUGACUACCAGGGAACUAGCUAUCAUGUCCACAUUCCAAGCCAAAAAUAGAAGAGGACAAAAUGACAUAUGCCCCCUCCCUUUUAACUAUUCUUCCUAGAAGUUCCAUAUAACGCUGGCCAGAAAUUAAUUAUGUAUGUAGAUAUACCCACCCACUAAGGAGGCUGGGGAAUGCAUUAUUAAGGAAUAAGAGGAGGGUAAGUGUUAAGAGACAACUACCAGUUGCCACACCCUCCACUGAGAAAAUAUUCAGACUAUAGCUGCCUUGAGCUCUAAACUUGUACGCUUCAAAUCCUUAAGUCUGGCUGGAUUUAAGCAAGAGGCAAACCUUU